rnacentral:lncRNA from 1 species
GAGCAGUUGAUUUCUCACCGCCCACCCCCGACCCCACCACUAUUGAUCAUGAGGUGCUUUGAGGGGUCCGGGUUUGGAGGACUGAAACACCGUGGGAUCUUGGAACAGCUCUUCCUUGUUGGUGAUCCCUUAUUAAGAAGCCCUCCAGCCUGACAAUGCUGAAGCCCUGGAGGUUGGAGCCACUCAGAAGAGGAAACCAGAGCACAGAAAGGUUAAGUGAAAUGCCCGAAGUCACACAACUGAUAAAUGGUCAAAUUGGGAUCCAAGCCCAGGCAGCUCUGAGUCAUUGACAUUACUCUGUCCUAGAAGGCACUCGACAGAAAGGGGGUUUGUGCUUCCUCCAUCCCACCCAGCUUCUGAAUGGUCC